rnacentral:rRNA from 1 species
UACGUAGGGCGCAAGCGUUGUCCGGAAUUAUUGGGCGUAAAGAGCUCGUAGGCGGUUCGUCGCGUCUGUUGUGAAAUCCCGGGGCUUAACCCCGGGCUUGCAGUGGAUACGGGCGGACUAGAGGUAGGUAGGGGAGAAUGGAAUUCCCGGUGUAGCGGUGAAAUGCGCAGAUAUCGGGAGGAACACCGGUGGCGAAGGCGGUUCUCUGGGCCUUACCUGACGCUGAGGAGCGAAAGCGUGGGGAGCGAACAGG